CCUACGGGAGGCAGCAGUGGGGAAUUUUGGACAAUGGGCGAAAGCCUGGUCCAGCCAUUCCGCGUGAGUGAAGAAGGCCUUCGGGUUGUAAAGCUCUUUCGCAAGGGAAGAAAACUUAUAUUCUAAUAAAGUAUGAGGAUGACGGUACCUUGAUAAGAAGCACCGGCUAACUACGUGCCAGCAGCCGCGGUAAUACGUAGGGUGCGAGCGUUAAUCGGAAUUACUGGGCGUAAAGCGUGCGCAGGCGGUUUUUGAAAGUCAGAUGUGAAAUCCCCGAGCUCAACUUGGGAACUGCGUUUGAAACUCCAAAGCUAGAGUAUAGGAGAGGGGGGUAGAAUUCCACGUGUAGCAGUGAAAUGCGUAGAGAUGUGGAGGAAUACCAAUGGCGAAGGCAGCCCCCUGGCCUAAUACUGACGCUCAUGCACGAAAGCGUGGGGAGCAAACAGGAUUAGAUACCCUGGUAGUCCACGCCCUAAACGAUGUCUACUAGUUGUUGGUGGAGUAAAAUCCAUUAGUAACGCAGACUAACGNGUAGAAGUAGACCGCGUGGGGAGUACGGUCGACGAAGAAUUAAACUACGAAAGUUAAGUUAGACGG
rnacentral:rRNA from 1 species